CGCGUGGCUCUGACCGUGCUGUCUGUGCACCCAGCAACCCCGCGCCAGCGCGUCCCUGCCCAUACCUAGCGCCACCUCGACUGCUUUCAAAGAGCGCGUGCAGGCCGGGUGCAGUGGCUCACGUCUGUAAUCCCAACACUUUUGGAGGCCUAGGCGGGAGCAUCACUUGAGGCCAGGAGUUCAAAACCAGCCUGGCCAUCAUGGUGAAACCUUGUCUCUACUAAAAAUACAAAAAUUAGCCGGGCGUAGUGGUGCAUGCCUGUAAUCCCAAAUACUCAGGAGGCCGAGGCAGGAGAAUCGCUUGAACCCGGGAGGCAGAGGUUGCAGUGAGCUGAGAUUGUGCCGUUGCACUCCAGCCUGGGCAACAAGAGCGAAACUCAGUCUUAAAAAAAAAAAAAAGUCAGACAGGAGGGCUUUACAGGACGCCACCUCUGCAAAAACCAACCACUGCAGACGGGCAUGAAGGACAAAUACACAGGGGAGAGACGGAGUGCAGCAGACAUCGCUGUCCCGUGUCAUCAAAUGCAUGGACAAGGACAGCCCAGGUGUCCACCUGGACCUGAACACCCUCAAAACCGAGUUCCAGGAGCUUCAAAAGCUCAUGGGCACCGGGCCCCCACCAUCCUCCUGAACCCAAGCAGCAGCUGCAGCCCCACAGCAUCCGGGUGCAAGUCGGGACCAGAAGGAGCUUCUGCAAAAGUGCUGGAGUCUCAGCAGAUUUGAAAUCCCCGAGAAGGCCGGGCGCGGUGGCUCAAGCCUGUAAUUCCAGCACUUUGGGAGGCCGAGACGGGCGGAUCACGAGGUCAGGAGGUUGAGACUAUCCUGGCUAACACGGUGAAACCCCGUCUCUACUAAAAAAAAAAAAANNNNNNNNNNAUCCUGGCUAACACGGUGAAACCCCGUCUCUACUAAAAAAAAAAAAAUACAAAAAACUAGCCAGGCGAGGUGGCGGGCGCCUGUAAUCCCAACUACUCGGGAGGCUGAGGCAGGAGAAUGGCGUAAACCUGGGAGGCGGAACUUGCAGUGAGCCGAGAUGCGGCCACUGCACUCCAGCCUGGGCGACAGAGCGAGACUCCGUCUCAAAAAAAAAAAAAAAAAAAAAAAAGAAAUCCCCUAGAAGCAGAGUGAGGCUGAGUUCAGGAAUGCCUAAGACGGGGGGAAGCAGUGGCCUGUGUGCCCCAACCCCCACACAGUCCUUUGGGAUGUGGUCUCUUUGGACCCCAGCUCUGACUUAAGCCGCCUGGGGUGGGGCUGCUGUGGCUGUGCCCAGCUUGAAUAUAUCCGUGUGUCUAGAUGCAUAAUAACUUGAGUGCCUGAAGGCGGGAGUCAGGAUGGUCCUGGAGGCUGGGGAGUGGGUGGAGAAUCCUCCCCUGUCUCCGGGAAGGGGGCCAUCUGCGGCGAGUCUGAGCCGCAUCGGCACAUCUGAAGGUGCACCAGGAAAGGAGGGGGCUGUUCUUUGCUUCCUUCCCCCCUCUUCUCCCACACCGAGGUACGAUCAGUGCGUACCAAGUACAUAUCAUUCCUGUGACCAGCAGGUGCAUGAAAUAUUUGCAUAGCAUUCACUGGACAAAAUAGUCCUGCAGCAUGGACUUAAUAUGAUAAAAGAAGACUGUGAGAGAAGGAACAUUGUUUUGAAAGGGCAGAGGGGUCCGGCCGGGCACAGUGGCUCAUGCCUGUAAUCCCAGGACUUUGGGAGGCUGAGACAGGUGGAUCACAAGGUCAG
rnacentral:lncRNA from 1 species